UCCGGUUGAUCCUGCCGGACCCGACUGCUAUCAAAGUGGGACUAAGCCAUGCGAGUCAACAUAGCAAUAUGUGGCAUACGGCUCAGUAACACGUAGUCAACAUGCCCAGGGGACGUGGAUAACCUCGGGAAACUGAGGAUAAACCGCGAUAAGUCACUGCUUCUGGAAUGGGCAAUGACUUAAAUCUAUAUGGCCCCUGGAUUGGACUGCGGCCGAUCAGGCUGUUGGUGAGGUAAUGGCCCACCAAACCUGUAACCGGUACGGGCUCUGAGAGGAGGAGCCCGGAGAUGGGCACUGAGACAAGGGCCCAGGCCCUAUGGGGCGCAGCAGGCGCGAAACCUCUGCAAUAGGCGAAAGCCUGACAGGGUUACUCUGAGUGAUUUCCGUUAAGGAGAUCUUUUGGCACCUCUAAAAAUGGUGCAGAAUAAGGGGUGGGCAAGUCUGGUGUCAGCCGCCGCGGUAAUACCAGCACCCCGAGUGGUCGGGACGUUUAUUGGGCCUAAAGCAUCCGUAGCCGGUUCUGCAAGUCUUCCGUUAAAUCCACCUGCUUAACAGAUGGGCUGCGGAAGAUACUAUAGAGCUAGGAGGCGGGAGAGGCAAGCGGUACUCGAUGGGUAGGGGUAAAAUCCGUUGAUCCAUUGAAGACCACCAGUGGCGAAGGCGGCUUGCCAGAACGCGCUCGACGGUGAGGGAUGAAGGCUGGGGGAGCAAACCGGAUUAGAUACCCGGGUAGUCCCAGCUGUAAACGAUGCAGACUCGGUGAUGAAUUGGCUUUAUGCCAAUUCAGUGCCGCAGGGAAGCCGUUAAGUUUGCCGCCUGGGGAGUACGGUCGCAAGACUGAAACUUAAAGGAAUUGGCGGGGGAGCACCACAAGGGGUGAAGCCUGCGGUUCAAUUGGAGUCAACGCCGGAAAUCUUACCGGGGGCGACAGCAGAAUGAAGGUCAAGCUGAAGACUUUACCAGACAAGCUGAGAGGAGGUGCAUGGCCGUCGCCAGCUCGUGCCGUGAGGUGUCCUGUUAAGUCAGGUAACGAGCGAGACCCCUGCCUCUAGUUGCUACCAUUAUUCUCAGGAGUAGUGGAGCUAAUUAGAGGGACUGCCGUCGCUGAGACGGAGGAAGGAGGGGGCUACGGCAGGUCAGUAUGCCCCGAAACCCUCGGGCCACACGCGGGCUGCAAUGGUAAGGACAAUGAGUAUCGAUUCCGAAAGGAGGAGGCAAUCUCUAAACCUUACCACAGUUAUGAUUGAGGGCUGAAACUCGCCCUCAUGAAUAUGUAAUCCCUAGUAACCGCGUGUCACUAUCGCGCGGUGAGUACGUCCCUGCUCCUUGCACACACCGCCCGUCGCUUCAUCGAAGUUGGUUCUUGGCGAGGUGAUGCCUAAUUGGUACUAUCGAACCUGGGGUCAGCAACGAGGGAG
rnacentral:rRNA from 1 species